rnacentral:rRNA from 1 species
AUUGUUGCUGGCUCUUUAGAAGCAUGUGCACAUUCAAUUCAAUUUUUUGAACCCCAUGUGCACUUUUUGUAGAUUUGAAACCAUUCAAACAUUUUCUAUUUGAAAUUUGUCUUGGUUUUUGAGAACUGCUUUACAUUUUGUGAGCUUUUCUUGUCUUUCAUAUCUACACUUUCAAAMCAUCCUCCAAAUGUAAUAGAAUGACAUGUAUUAGGCUACUUUGCCUUUAAAUUAUUAAAACAACUUUCAACAACGGAUCUCUUGGCUCUCGCAUCGAUGAAGAACGCAGCGAAAUGCGAUAAGUAAUGUGAAUUGCAGAAUUCAGUGAAUCAUCGAAUCUUUGAACGCACCUUGCACUUCUUGGUAUUCCGAGAAGUAUGCCUGUUUGAGUGUCAUGAAAUUUUCAAUUUUCAUGGUUUUUUCUUUAAAACUAAUGAAGACUGGAUAAUUGAGAGUUGCUAAAUUUGUUUUAAAGUUAGCUCUCUUCAAAAAUAUUAGCAGAGUCAUUACUGAUUUAUCAAUGGUAUAAUAAAUAAUCUAUACUAUUGAAAUCAGAUAACAAUGGCUUUGCUUAUAAUUGUCUUUCCAAGACACCUGACUUAUUUGACCUCAAAUCAGGUAGGAUUACCCGCUGAACUUAAGCAUA